rnacentral:misc_RNA from 1 species
UCGCGUCUUACGACGGCAGUUUCAUUAGAGUUCCCAGCUUGACCUGAUGGCAACUAAUGAUGGGGGUUGCGCUCGUUGCGGGACUUAACCCAACACCUCACGGCACGAGCUGACGACAGCCAUGCACCACCUGUGCAGGCUCCGAAGAGCGCCCGCUUUCACGGGUUCUACCCUGCAUGUCAAGCCCAGGUAAGGUUCUUCGCGUCGCAUCGAAUUAAGCCGCAUGCUCCGCCGCUUGUGCGGGGCCCCGUCAAUUCCUUUGAGUUUUAGCCUUGCGGCCGUACUCCCCAGGCGGGGUGCUUAAUGCGUUAGCUACGGCACGGAUUCCGUGGAAGGAACCCACACCUAGCGCCCACCGUUUACGGCUGGGACUAC